UACGGGGGGGGCAAGCGUUGUUCGGAAUUACUGGGCGUAAAGGGCGCGUAGGCGGCUUUUCAAGUCGGGCGUGAAAUCUCCGGGCUUAACCCGGAAGGGUCGUUCGAUACUGUUGAGCUAGAGUGUGGAAGAGGCAACUAGAAUUCCGUGUGUAGCGGUGAAAUGCGUAGAUAUCAAGAGGAACACCUGAGGUGAAGACGGGUUGCUGGGCUGACACUGACGCUGAGGCGCGAAAGCGUGGGGAGCGAACAGG
rnacentral:rRNA from 1 species